rnacentral:rRNA from 1 species
UGCAUAUCAAUAAGCGGAGGAAUAAGAAACUAACAAGGAUUCCCCUAGUAGCGGCGAGCGAAGCGGGAAGAGCUCAAAUUUAUAAUCUGGCACCUUCGGUGUCCGAGUUGUAAUCUCUAGAAGUGUUUUCCGCGUUGGACCGCACACAAGUCUGUUGGAAUACAGCGGCAUAGUGGUGAAACCCCCGUAUAUGGUGCGGACGCCCAGCGCUUUGUGAUACACUUUCAAUGAGUCGAGUUGUUUGGGAAUGCAGCUCAAAUUGGGUGGUAAAUUCCAUCUAAAGCUAAAUAUUGGCGAGAGACCGAUAGCGAACAAGUACCGUGAGGGAAAGAUGAAAAGCACUUUGGAAAGAGAGUUAACAGUACGUGAAAUUGUUGGAAGGGAAACGCUUGAAGUCAGACUUGCUUGCCGGAGCUUGCUUCGGUUUGCAGGCCAGCAUCAGUUUUCCGGGGUGGAUAAUGACGGUUUGAAGGUAGCAGUCUCGGCUGUGUUAUAGCUUUCCGUUGGAUACAUCCUGGGGGACUGAGGAACGCAGCGUGCUUUUUGCGAAAGACUC